GGGUUGUGAGGUUAAGCGACUAAGCGUACACGGUGGAUGCCCUGGCAGUCAGAGGCGAUGAAGGACGUGCUAAUCUGCGAUAAGCGCCGGUAAGGUGAUAUGAACCGUUAUAACCGGCGAUUUCCGAAUGGGGAAACCCAGUGUGACUCGUCACACUAUCAUUAACUGAAUCCAUAGGUUAAUGAGGCGAACCGGGGGAACUGAAACAUCUAAGUACCCCGAGGAAAAGAAAUCAACCGAGAUUCCCCCAGUAGCGGCGAGCGAACGGGGAGGAGCCCAGAGCCUGAAUCAGCAUGUGUGUUAGUGGAAGCGUCUGGAAAGGCGCGCGAUACAGGGUGACAGCCCCGUACACAAAAGCGCAUGUGCUGUGAGCUCGAUGAGUAGGGCGGGACACGUGGUAUCCUGUCUGAAUAUGGGGGGACCAUCCUCCAAGGCUAAAUACUCCUGACUGACCGAUAGUGAACCAGUACCGUGAGGGAAAGGCGAAAAGAACCCCGGCGAGGGGAGUGAAAAAGAACCUGAAACCGUGUACGUACAAGCAGUGGGAGCACCCUUUGGGGUGUGACUGCGUACCUUUUGUAUAAUGGGUCAGCGACUUAUAUUCUGUAGCAAGGUUAACCGAAUAGGGGAGCCGGAGGGAAACCGAGUCUUAAUUGGGCGUUAA
rnacentral:rRNA from 1 species